GAGUUUGAUCGUGGCUCAGAUUGAACGCUGGCGGCAGGCCUAACACAUGCAAGUCGAGCGGAUGACGGGAGCUUGCUCCUUGAUUCAGCGGCGGACGGGUGAGUAAUGCCUAGGAAUCUGCCUGGUAGUGGGGGACAACGUUUCGAAAGGAACGCUAAUACCGCAUACGUCCUACGGGAGAAAGCAGGGGACCUUCGGGCCUUGCGCUAUCAGAUGAGCCUAGGUCGGAUUAGCUAGUUGGUGGGGUAAUGGCUCACCAAGGCGACGAUCCGUAACUGGUCUGAGAGGAUGAUCAGUCACACUGGAACUGAGACACGGUCCAGACUCCUACGGGAGGCAGCAGUGGGGAAUAUUGGACAAUGGGCGAAAGCCUGAUCCAGCCAUGCCGCGUGUGUGAAGAAGGUCUUCGGAUUGUAAAGCACUUUAAGUUGGGAGGAAGGGCAGUAAGUUAAUACCUUGCUGUUUUGACGUUACCGACAGAAUAAGCACCGGCUAACUCUGUGCCAGCCGCCG
rnacentral:rRNA from 13 species